rnacentral:rRNA from 1 species
AUUGAACGCUGGCGGCAUGCCUUACACAUGCAAGUCGAACGGUAACGCGGGGCAACCUGGCGACGAGUGGCGAACGGGUGAGUAAUGCAUCGGAACGUGCCCAGUAGUGGGGGAUAGCCCGGCGAAAGCCGGAUUAAUACCGCAUACGACCUACGGGUGAAAGGGGGGGAUCGCAAGACCUCUCGCUAUUGGAGCGGCCGAUGUCAGAUUAGGUAGUUGGUGGGGUAAGGCCUACCAAGCCGACGAUCUGUAGCUGGUCUGAGAGGACGACCAGCCACACUGGGACGGAGACACGGCCCAGACUCCUACGGGAGGCAGCAGUGGGGAAUUUUGGACAAUGGGCGCAAGCCUGAUCCAGCCAUGCCGCGUGCGGGAAGAAGGCCUUCGGGUUGUAAACCGCUUUUGUCAGGGAAGAAAUCUUCUGGGUUAAUACCUCGGGAGGAUGACGGUACCUGAAGAAUAAGCACCGGCUAACUACGUGCCAGCAGCCGCCGUAAAAC